CAUAGUCUAUUACAACCCAAAUAUGCCAACUAUUACAAUAUUACAAUAUUUAUAGUCUAUUACAAUCGAACAAAAGAGAUAACUCUUUGUUGAGUAGGGCUAUACGGCUUCGAACUUCAAAUUUCGUAGACCUGGAGCUCCUGUGAAAGAGUGAACACAUCGGCUACCAGCAUUAGAGUAGCUAUUAUUCCUGGAAUAGAUUUGCAAACUUCCAAGUUUAGUG
rnacentral:lncRNA from 1 species